rnacentral:rRNA from 2 species
AACCAUCGAGUCUUUGAACGCAAGUUGCGCCCGAGGCCAAUCGGCCAAGGGCACGUUCGCCUGGGCGUCAAGC